UUACAGGUAGUGGCGGAAGGGCAUGAGAUGGAUGAACCAUCAAGUUGUUUUGUUUACAAGUCUGCAUAUGUUUAUAUUUGUUAUAUGACUUGUAAUGUAUUCGUUUAUGCUUAUUGGUCUGUAUCGGAACAUGACACCCCGAGUUUUGAUUAUAAUGAAAAUACAUUUCUUUUAUGAAAUGCUUCGGUAAACAAUGUUUUAUCAUGUUUUGUUUUUGGGAACAAAUUCCGCAACUCUUUCAAAUCAAAAGGAUUUACUCUGAAAAUAUUUAAAAGCAUAAAUGAAAAUCGGUCUUUUCUGGCCGAGAUUUUGGGGAUGUCACAGUUGGUAUCAGAGCAUUAGUUUAAGCGAACUAGGAAUUUGUAGGAUUUCUAGACUUAAACUUAGAAUGCUAAGUGAAGUUUUGAGAUGUGUGUCUGUUGUGAUUUAGACACGAGCACUAGUUUAUUUUAGGAAAGUUGCCUAAAAUGCUUUAUGUGCUAAAUGUUAUAUGUUGCCAUAUAUGAUAUUAUUUGUUCGGAUCUAUGGUCUGUUGCCGACCGGAUCUAGAAACCUUAUGUGUGUAGGAUUCUAAGCGUACGUCUACGAUAUUAGAACUAGCAUGUAAACGUUUCGGAGUGAUAAGGAUGAUUUGAAUAUCUAUCAUGAUUGAGGAUCUAAUUUCACCUUAUUCGGUGUAGAUCAAAAUGGUGAGAACAAGAAGUGGAGUUGGAAAUGCUGACGAAAACAGGAAUCAACCACCAGUGAUUGAGCCAAUACCUGUCGUAGCAGCAGCACCUGAGCCAAUAACCAUGGCUGGUGUGCAAUUGAUGAUUCAGACGAUGUUGGAUCGUCAGAUGGAUGAAACUAGACGGUUGCUUCAACAAAAUCGUGAAGAACUGUCGAUUCGUGUGGAAGAGCCUGAACUGAAUGAAGGGCACUCGGAAGGUGGAAACUUCAGUGGGUCUGUUGGUCCAGCCAACCCACCGAUAGUUAGGCAAGAUAACCAUGAUGGAAGGAAUGAUGGAAUGGGAUGCAAGUACAAGGACUUUUUGACUUGUAAACCAUCGACCUUCAAUGGAAAGGAGGAUCCGAUUGGGGUUAUGGAUUGGAUCUCCGAAAUGGAGUUAGCCUUUAUGACAUGUGGCUGUAGAGGCAAGUUGCAGACUAUCUAUGCCGUGCGACAAUUCCGAGGUGGAGCCGUUCGUUGGUGGAACACUCUAGGGAAGACCUUAAGCCCUAAUGAGCCACUGCAAUUGUCAUGGGCAGAGUUCUUGGUGCAGUUCAAGCGCAAGUUCUGCUCGGCUCAAAAUCUGUUGGAGUUGGAGAACAAGUUUUUGACAUUGACGAAGGGUAGCAUGUCAGUGGAUGAGUACACCAAUAACUUCACCGAUAAGAUGGAGUUUGCCUUGCGUAUCGUUCCAGACGAGCUGACAAAGGUGGAUCGGUAUGCGAAGGGACUUCCAUGGGAGUACGAGGUGCCGGUACGUCAGGCACUUACUCUAGAGGCAGCUAUCUGGGCUGCCAAGUCUGUGGAGAACAUGAUCAAGGGGAGAACCACCGUCAAGGUUGAGGUUGGUGAGAAAAGGAAGUUUGAAGGAACAUCUGGUUCCAGUAAGAAGAGCAAAUUUUCGAAAUCUGAUUCGAAAAAGUUUGGAGGAAAAGGAGGCGAAGCAAAGUGGUGUGAUAAGUGUAAGAAAAAGCACUUUGGGAAAUGUAGCGAGGAUGUGACCUGCUACAAGUGUGGAAAGGUUGGACAUUUUGCCAAUGAAUGUCCGAACAACAAAAGGAUGUGUUUUGGGUGUAAUGAAGAGGGGCAUAUUUUGAAAGACUGUCCGAAGAAGAAGGAGGCAGCUAGGCCCAACAUUCCACCAAAGCCGAAGGCGAGAGCCUUCCAGAUGACACUUGAGGCUGCGAAAGAUGAAGCUGAUGUCGCUUCAGGUACCUUUCUCGUAAACGAAUUACCUGCUCAUAUAUUGUUUGAUUCUGGAGCCAACUACUCCUUUAUUUCGCAUGAGUUUGGUAGAAAGCUAGCUUUGCCUGUUGAUAGACUAGAUAAUGCUUUAUUAGUCGAAGUAGCUAGUGGCAAGUUUGUACCUGUUAGCCAUCGUAUGAAAAACGUCUUGAUCGACCUUAAUGGGAAUAAGUUUCUCGAGGAAUUAUUGCCUAUCGAACUAAAUGGUUUCGACAUCGUCUUGGGAAUGGAUUGGCUUAGCGCCAAUGAUGCCGAAAUUUUGUGCAAGAAGAAGAUAGUUAAAGUAAACCCGCCUGGGAAAGAUUCGUUUAUGGUGUAUGGGGACAAACGCAGAGUGAAUUCUGGAAUCAUUUCUCUAAUGAAAGCCAGAAAGUGUUUGACCAAGGGAUGUACAUCAUAUUUAGCAUUCGUGAUUGAUGCUAAGAAAGAAAAGAAGGUGAUGCAGAGCAUUCCAGUGGUGUGUGAUUAUCCGGAAGUAUUUCCCGAGGAUCUUCCUGGAUUACCACCUGAUAGACAAGUGGAGUUCAGAAUAGACUUGUUACCAGGAACCACGCCAAUAGCAAAAGCACCUUAUCGAUUAGCACCGACGGAGAUGAAGGAGCUGAUGAUGCAACUUCAGGAGUUAUUGGACAAAGGUUUCAUUAGACCUAGUUCAUCGCCCUGGGGAGCUCCGGUGUUAUUUGUAAAGAAGAAAGAUGGAAGUAUGAGAAUGUGCAUCGAUUACAGAGAGCUGAACAAGGCAACAAUAAAGAAUAGAUAUCCGUUGCCGAGGAUUGAUGACCUGUUUGAUCAAUUGCAAGGUUCGAGCUAUUUCUCGAAGAUCGAUCUUAGGUCAGGAUAUCAUCAGCUGAAAGUAAGAGAGCAAGAUAUCGAGAAGACUGCAUUCAGAACUAGAUAUGGACACUACGAGUUCUUGGUUAUGUCGUUUGGACUAACCAAUGCUCCAGCAGCGUUCAUGGAUUUGAUGAAUAGGGUUUGUAAUCCUUUCCUUGAUAAAUCCGUGAUAGUGUUCAUAGACGACAUUCUGAUCUACUCGAAAAGCCAGGAGGAGCAUGGCAGACACUUGCGAGAAGUGUUAGAAGUUUUGAAGAAGGAGAAGCUUUAUGCGAAGUUCUCCAAAUGUGAUUUUUGGAUUCGUGAGGUCCAAUUCUUGGGUCACGUGGUCAACCAAGAAGGGAUAAUGGUUGAUCCAGCGAAGAUCGAAGCUGUGACGAAGUGGGAACAACCGAAAAGUCCCACGGAGAUUCGAAGCUUUUUAGGAUUAGCCGGAUAUUACCGAAGGUUUAUCCAAGGCUUUUCUUCGAUUGCUACUCCAUUAACAGCUUUGACCCACAAAGGAGCUACUUAUGCUUGGAGUGAGAAGCAUAAAGAAGCAUUCGAGAAGUUAAAGAAGAAGCUAUGCGAGGCACCGAUACUUUCUCUACCCGAUGGAGUUGAAGACUUCGCUGUUUAUAGCGAUGCGUCUGGUGUUGGAUUGGGUUGUGUUUUGACCCAAAGAGAAAAGGUGAUAGCAUAUGCGUCUCGACAGCUGAAAGAGCAUGAAAAGAAUUACCCGACUCAUGAUUUGGAGUUGGCAGCGGUAGUUUUCGCUCUGAAAAUAUGGAGGCAUUACCUCUAUGGCACGAAGUGCAAACUUUUCACUGAUCAUAAGAGUCUCCAAUACCUCUUUAAUCAGAAAGAAUUGAAUAUGAGGCAACGACGCUGGCUAGAAUUACUUAAAGACUACGACUGCGAGAUACUUUACCACCCCGGUAAAGCUAAUGUUGUUGCUGAUGCUCUCAGUCGGAAAGUCAAUCUUGAAAGGAAGAGGCCAAGAGCGUUGAGAAUUGAAGUUGUCUCGACUAUUGUGGAAAGUAUAAAGAAAGCUCAAGAGGAAGCUUCUGAGAAAAAUGACCGAAAGGAGGAACGUUUGGGUAAAACGUUGGUGUUUGGUACUAACGGUCAUGGACUGAAGGUAUUCCAAGAUCGUAUUUGGGUACCUAAGUCAGGAGGAAUUAGGGAUCUUCUGAUGGAAGAAGCUCACAAAACCAUGUACUCAAUUCAUCCGGGUAGCACUAAAAUGUAUAGGGACCUGAAACCCUACUACUGGUGGCCGACGAUGAAGCUUGAUGUUGCAAAGUAUGUGGCCGAGUGUGUGACUUGUGCGAGAGUCAAGACACAACAUCAGAAACCUUACGGGAGUUUAGAACCAUUGCCUGUGCCUAUGGGUAAGUGGGAAGACAUUGCUAUGGAUUUUGUCACUAAACUGCCCAGAACAAAGAAUGGUCACGACAUGAUUUGGGUGGUCGUUGAUCGAUUCACUAAGAGUGCGCAUUUCAUAGCGGCCAGGGAGAAAUGGUCUAUGGAAAAGCUUGCGAAUUCUUACGUGAAGGAAAUUGUGAGGCUUCACGGUGUUCCGUUAACGAUUGUAUCGGAUCGUGAUAGCCGUUUCACCUCAAGGUUUUGGAAAAGUCUACAAGAGGAAAUGGGUACCAAGUUAUGUUUAAGCACAGCUUACCAUCCGCAGACUGAUGGUCAGAGUGAAAGAACAAUACAAACACUUGAAGAUAUGCUGAGAGCAUGUACCUUGGAAUUCCUAGGUAAUUGGGAUGAACAUUUACCGUUGGUAGAAUUUUCCUAUAAUAAUAGUUUUCACUCGAGCAUUAAGAUGGCACCUUAUCAAGCUUUGUAUGGACAGAAGUGUCGUACGCCGUCUUGUUGGCUUGAGGCUGGGGAAAAGCAGUUUAUGGGACCGGAGAUGGUUCAUCAAACUGCUGAAAAGUUGAAAAUAAUUAGGGAAAGAAUGUUAGCAGCUCAAGAUCGUCAAAAGAGCUAUGCUGACAAGAAGCGAAGACCGAUGACUUUUGAGGUUGGAGAUUCGGUUUUGCUUAAAGUCUCGCCGUGGAAGGGACUUAUAAGAUUUGGUAAAAGGGGAAAGUUGAGUCCAAGGUUUAUUGGACCGUUUAAAGUCCUUCAGAGGAUUGGGAAUCAAGCUUACAAGCUCGAAUUACCCGAAGAACUGAAUGGAAUUCACAACACCUUUCAUGUGUGUUAUUUGAGGAAGUUCACGGGAGAAGUUCCCGAUAUAAUUCCAAUUUCUGAAUUGAGAAUUGAUGAGAACAAAAGGUUGAUUGAAGAACCAGAGGCAAUUGUUGACCGAAAGACUAAGAAGUUGCGACGCAAAAUGGUUGGGUUAGUGCUUGUCCGAUGGAAACACACGAAUGGGCCGAAUCUCACCUGGGAGACGGAGAGUGACAUGUUGAGUCGCUAUCCGCAUUUGUUUGUUGAUGUGUGAUUCCGGGGACGGAAUCAUUCUAAGGUGGAGAGAAUUGUAACGCCUGUGUUUCCGGGCUUGCCAUUUUUAGCAAUGUAAUAGUCUAGGUUAACCUUUGUAACCCGUUUUGAAAUAAUAAGAUUGUAUUAUUUGAGUAUUAUGUGUUUUGUGCUUAAUUGCUUAAUUAUGUGGUUUGAUUAAUUAAGAAUAAAAAUAAGCGUCAAAAUUUAAGUGUAAAAUAAACUUAAUAUCUUUGGUUAAUGUUGUAGUAGUUGAAACGAGGUUUCCGAAUAUAUAUAGAACGCCCAAAUCUGACUUCGUAUGAGGAAGUUAUGAUUUAUCGAAGUUCCGGCUUAGCGAUAUACAGCCUGUUUUACUCGAUUUGAGAUCGAGCGGUUGUUAGCCGAAGCAAUCUAAAUGAGAAUCGAAGAUCUCAUUGUUGGUAUUGAAACGAUAAAAAGUUAGGCGAGAACGGACGUCAAACGAAGAAGUUAUGAAUUUAUAACGAAAGUUUCUGUCCCGGCCUAUUAAAAAUAAUUAAUAAAAAUAAAGUCAAAAUUAGCCGACGGAGUCUAAACGAAAGUCGUAGAGCGUGGUCUCACCUUCGCGUGGAUAUAAAGAACGUCGAAAACGGAGUUCGUAUGAAGAAGUUAUGAAUUUCCGAAGUUUAUUAAUCAUUUUGUAUUUAUUUUUAAUUCAAAAUUCGGAAGCAUUAUCCGAAGGAGUCACCGAUCUGAUCCGAGGUACGCCCCGCGUACUCGAGUACGCCCCGCGUACUCCGAGGGAUGUCGACACUCGCACUCGAGCACUUCGGAUACGUAAGCAAUGACGUUUUGGGCAGUACGCCCCGCGUAACGCAGUACGCCCCGCGUACUCCGAGGCUCCAGCCUCCUAUAAAUAGGAUGCGAGGGUUCCGGGUAUUUUUGCCAAUUCCCUCUCGUUUUCGUGUCGAAGCUCUGUGCAAAAACCCCCGAAGCUACCCCGAAGUCCCGGUAUCAUACUCUAGCCCCGAGGCAAGUCCCGAGAUCCUGAAGAUCCCGAAAAGUGCGGUUCCCGAGUCGAAGCUCUGCCCGCGAGAAGUUCGAUUUUCGAGAAGAUCUUCCAGAUCUGCUGUGGAUUACUACUUCUAUAAGCCGUAGUGCUGUCCGAUCAUCUUCUGAUCAAGUGAGUGUGUAGUUAUUUCUUCUAAUACAAUAAUACGAAGUAUUUUAUAUAAAAAUACGUGCUAUGUGUAUAUAUUUGGUUGUGUUAUGUGUGAAUGAGUAUUCACUCUCUUCUAUCUUAUAGAUCUGCUUAUUUCUUUAUGAGAUAUGUGUUAUGUGUGUGUGUGCCUCAUCUGUUAUGUGAUAUAUGUGUUGAUUAAAGCAUGCUAUACAGGUUUUCUUUAAACUAUGUAUACAAAUGUAUAUUUUUAUCUACUAAUAUGUUGGGUAGAACAUGGGUAGACAGUUGGUGUGUAAUAAACAGAUGAGAGGCCUCGUUGUUGUUUGAUUGAGUCAUCUAGCGGAGUUUAGAUGACGACCACUGGCUAUUCUAGACAGUCUUGUGGAAACAUUAGCAGGUUCGCCACCUGUAGGUGUUAAUGAACUUGGGUGUUCAUUCGCUGUACUCCAUCCCCCUCAUGGUUGCCUUAUUUGACUUAUAUUGCUGAGGUACCCCCGAAGCAUGUGUUGUCGCCCCGAUGAAAUAUUCUUAGACUAGGUCCCUUGUGUUAGUUGUUUUAGGGACAUAAAGUGAGAAUAACGGGAAUGGGUAAUUGGGUUAUUGUUGGUUGGUGAAAAUUAAAUAUGAUUACUUAUUGUGGGUUGAAAACCCUAUAUGCUCACCAGGCUCCCAAGCCUGACCCACUCAGUUUUAUUUGUAUUACNUUAAAUAUGAUAUUUAUUGUGGGUUGAAAACCCUAUAUGCUCACCAGGCUCCCAAGCCCGACCCUCUUAGUUUUAAAUUGUAUUACAGGAAGUGGCGGAAGGGCAUGAGAUGGAUGAACCAUCAAGUUGUUUUGAUUACAAGUCUGCAUAUGUUUAUAUUUGUUGAAUGACUUGUAAUGUAUUCGUUUAUGCUUAUUGGUCUGUAUCGGAACAUGACACCCCGAGUUUUGAUUAUAAUGAAAAUACAUUUCUUUUAUGAAAUGCUUUGGUAAACAUUGUUUUAUCAUGUUU
rnacentral:lncRNA from 1 species